UACGGAGGGUGCGAGCGUUGUCCGGAAUCAUUGGGCGUAAAGGGCGCGUAGGCGGCGCGGUAAGUCACUUGUGAAAUCUCUGAGCUUAACUCAGAACGGCCAAGUGAUACUGCAGUGCUAGAGUGUGGAAGGGGCAAUCGGAAUUCUUGGUGUAGCGGUGAAAUGCGUAGAUAUCAAGAGGAACACCUGAGGUGAAGACGGGUUGCUGGGCCAACACUGACGCUGAUGCGCGAAAGCCAGGGGAGCGAACAGG
rnacentral:rRNA from 1 species